GACGAACGUUGGCGGCGUGCUUAACACAUGCAAGUCGAACGGAAAGGCCCUGCUUUUGUGGGGUGCUCGAGUGGCGAACGGGUGAGUAACACGUGAGUAACCUGCCCUUGACUUUGGGAUAACUUCAGGAAACUGGGGCUAAUACCGGAUAGGAGCUCCUGCUGCAUGGUGGGGGUUGGAAAGUUUCGGCGGUUGGGGAUGGACUCGCGGCUUAUCAGCUUGUUGGUGGGGUAGUGGCUUACCAAGGCUUUGACGGGUAGCCGGCCUGAGAGGGUGACCGGCCACAUUGGGACUGAGAUACGGCCCAGACUCCUACGGGAGGCAGCAGUGGGGAAUAUUGCACAAUGGGCGGAAGCCUGAUGCAGCAACGCCGCGUGCGGGAUGACGGCCUUCGGGUUGUAAACCGCUUUCGCCUGUGACGAAGCGUGAGUGACGGUAAUGGGUAAAGAAGCACCGGCUAACUACGC
rnacentral:rRNA from 1 species